rnacentral:rRNA from 1 species
GGAAACGGCAACUAAUACCGUAUACGCCCUACGGGGGAAAGAUUUAUUGCUAUUAGAUGAGCCUAUAUUAGAUUAGCUAGUUGGUGGGGUAAUAGCCUACCAAGGCAAUGAUCUAUAGCUGAUCUGAGAGGAUGGUCAGCCACACUGGAACUGAGAUACAGUCCAGACUCCUACGGGAGGCAGCAGUGGGGAAUAUUGGACAAUGGGCGAAAGCCUGAUCCAGCCAUGCCGCAUGAGUGAAGAAGGCCUUUGGGUUGUAAAGCUCUUUCAGUGAGGAAGAUAAUGACGGUACUCACAGAAGAAGUCCUGGCUAACUCCGUGCCAGCAGCCGCGGUAAUACGGAGAGGGCUAGCGUUAUUCGGAAUUAUUGGGCGUAAAGGGCGCGUAGGCUGGUUAGUAAGUUAAAAGUGAAAUCCCAAAGCUCAACUUUGGAAUUGCUUUUAAAACUGCUAAUCUGGAGGUUGAAAGAGGAUAGAGGAAUUCCUAGUGUAGAGGUGAUAUUCGUAAAUAUUAGGAGGAACACCAGUGGCGAAGGCGUCUAUCUGGUUCAAAUCUGACGCUGAGGCGCGAAGGCGUGGGGAGCAAACAGGAUUAGAUACCCUGGUAGUCCACGCUGUAAACGAUGAAUGUUAAAUAUGGGAAGUUUGCUUUCUGUAUUACAGCUAACGCAUUAAACAUUCCGCCUGGGGACUACGGUCGCAAGAUUAAAACUCAAAGGAAUUGACGGGGACCCGCACAAGCGGUGGAGCAUGUGGUUUAAUUCGAUGCAACGCGAAAAACCUUACCACUCCUUGACAUGGAAAUUAUACCUAUUCGAAGGAAUGGGGUCGGUUAGGCCGGGUUUCACACAGGUGUUGCAUGGCUGUCGUC